GCAUGCCUACAUCAUAGUGUUAAUGCACCGGAUCCCAUUAGAACUCCACAGUUAAGCAUGCUUAGGCUAGAGUAGUACUGGGAUGGGUGAUCACCCAGGAAGUCCUAGUGUUUUUCAUGCC
rnacentral:rRNA from 1 species